rnacentral:rRNA from 1 species
GAUGAACGCUGACAGAAUGCUUAGCACAUGCAAGUCCACUUGAAUUUGGGUUUUUUAACUUAGAUUUGGGUGGCGGACGGGUGAGUAACGCGUAAAGAACUUGCCUCACAGCUAGGGACAACAUUUGGAAACGAAUGCUAAUACCUGAUAUUAUGAUUAUAAGGCAUCUUAGAAUUAUGAAAGCUAUAUGCGCUGUGAGAGAGCUUUGCGUCCCAUUAGCUAGUUGGAGAGGUAACGGCUCACCAAGGCGAUGAUGGGUAGCCGGCCUGAGAGGGUGAACGGCCACAAGGGGACUGGGACACGGCCCUUACUCCUACGGGAGGCAACAGUGGGGAAUAUUGGACAAUGGACCAAGAGUCUGAUCCAGCAAUUCUGUGUGCACGAUGACGUUUUUCGGAAUGUAAAGUGCUUUCAGUUGGGAAGAAAAAAAUGACGGUACCAACAGAAGAAGUGACGGCUAAAUACGUG